CAUAUCAAUAAGCGGAGGAAAAGAAACCAACAGGGAUUGCCUCAGUAACGGCGAGUGAAGCGGCAAAAGCUCAAAUUUGAAACCCUCGGGAUUGUAAUUUGAAGAUUUGGCAUUGGAGAAAGCUAACCCAAGUUGCUUGGAAUAGUACGUCAUAGAGGGUGACAACCCCGUCUGGCUAACCGUUCUCCAUGUAUUGCCUUAUCAAAGAGUCGAGUUGUUUGGGAAUGCAGCUCAAAGUGGGUGGUAAACUCCAUCUAAAGCUAAAUACUGGUGAGAGACCGAUAGCGAACAAGUACUGUGAAGGAAAGGUGAAAAGAACUUUGAAAAGAGAGUGAAAUAGUAUGUGAAAUUGUUGAUAGGGAAGGAAAUGAGUGGAGAGUGGACGAGGUUUCAGUGCCCCCUCGGGGGUACGUACUGCCGACUCCGAGUCAUGGACAGCGAGACGGGGUGUAUAAACGGGUGUCUUCUUACUCUCACCUACUCCCCCCCACUGCCGUCCUCGACAUAA
rnacentral:rRNA from 1 species